AAGAUGGCGACCGGCGCACGGGUGAGUAACACGUAUCCAACCUGCCGAUAACUCCGGGAUAGCCUUUCGAAAGAAAGAUUAAUACCGGAUGGCAUACGAAUAUCGCAUGAUAUUUUUAUUAAAGAAUUUCGGUUAUCGAUGGGGAUGCGUUCCAUUAGUUUGUUGGCGGGGUAACGCCCACCAAGACUACGAUGGAUAGGGGUUCUGAGAGGAAGGUCCCCCACAUUGGAACUGAGACACGGUCCAA
rnacentral:rRNA from 1 species